rnacentral:misc_RNA from 1 species
ACACCUCAACUCUCAUGGCUUGCCAUGAUGAGCUUGGACUUUGGGGGUCUUGCUGGCCUAUGGUCAGCUCCUCUCAAAUGAAUUAGCUUCCCAGUGUUUGGUCGGCAUCGCAGGUGUGAUAACUAUCUACGCUUGUGGUUUCCACCAGGUAACCUUCAGUAACAUGGGGGUUCGCUGGAGCUCAUAAAUGUCUCUCCUCUGUGAGGACAGCUCUUUGAAU